UACGAAGGGGGCUAGCGUUGUUCGGAUUUACUGGGCGUAAAGCGCACGUAGGCGGACUAUUAAGUCAGGGGUGAAAUCCCGGGGCUCAACCCCGGAACUGCCUUUGAUGCUGGUAGUCUUGAGUUCGAGAGAGGUGAGUGGAAUUCCGAGUGUAGAGGUGAAAUUCGUAGAUAUUCGGAGGAACACCAGUGGCGAAGGCGGCUCACUGGCUCGAUACUGACGCUGAGGUGCGAAAGCGUGGGGAGCAAACAGG
rnacentral:rRNA from 1 species